AUUGAACGCUGGCGGCAGGCCUAACACAUGCAAGUCGAGCGGAUGAAGGGAGCUUGCUCCUGGAUUCAGCGGCGGACGGGUGAGUAAUGCCUAGGAAUCUGCCUGGUAGUGGGGGAUAACGUCCGGAAACGGGCGCUAAUACCGCAUACGUCCUGAGGAGAAAGUUGGGGGUUCUCGGGCCCCACCGCAAUCAGAUAGGCUAGGUCGGAUUAGCUAGUUGGUGGGGUAAAGGCCUACCAAGGCGACGAUCCGUAACUGGUCUGAGAGGAUGAUCAGUCACACUGGAACUGAGACACGGUCCAGACUCCUACGGGAGGCAGCAGUGGGGAAUAUUGGACAAUGGGCGAAAGCCUGAUCCAGCCAUGCCGCGUGUGUGAAGAAGGUCUUCGGAUUGUAAAGCACUUUAAGUUGGGAGGAAGGGCAGUAAGUUAAUACCUUGCUGUUUUGACGUUACCAACAGAAUAAGCACCGGCUAACUUCGUG
rnacentral:rRNA from 1 species